GCCAGCCUGGGCAACAUAGGGAGACCCGGUUUUUAAAAAGUAAUAAAUAAGGCUCCGAAGCGGGCAAUGGGGGCAAGAUGGUUUACAUCUCAAACGCACAAGUGUUGGACAGCUGGAGUCAGUCUCCAUGGAGAUUAUCUUUGAUAACAGAUUUCUUCUGGGGAAUAGCUGAGUUUGUGGUUUUGUUUUUGAAAACUCUGCUUCAGCAAGAUUUGAAAAAGAGAAGAAGCUAUGGAAACUCGUCUGAUUCCAGAUACCAUGAUGAUGGAAGAGGGCCACUGGGAAACCCUCCCGGAAGAAUGGGUCCAAUCAGUCAUCUGGGUGGCCCCAGUCCUCCUCCAAUGGCUGGUGGAUAUGAGGAAGGUAAAUGUCUGCUCUAAGAAGCAACUGGACACGCAUAUUCAUAGCAGAAGGAAACCAUCAAGAAGUGGAGUGCUGACCAUGCUGGAGCAGUAGAUGAAAGUGUGUGUCUAAA